UACAGGGGGGGCAAGCGUUGUUCGGAAUUACUGGGCGUAAAGGGGUCGUAGGUGGCCACUUAAGUCAGACGUGAAAUCCCUCAGCUUAACUGGGGAACUGCGUCUGAUACUGGGUGGCUUGAGUGCAGGAGAGGAAUGCGGAAUUCCAGGUGUAGCGGUGAAAUGCGUAGAUAUCUGGAGGAACACCGGUGGCGAAGGCGGCAUUCUGGACUGUAACUGACACUGAUGAACGAAAGCCAGGGGAGCAAACGGG
rnacentral:rRNA from 1 species